CCAGCCUCCUACACAGUCUCCGUGUUGGUGUUACAGGGAGAAGCACAACAAUAUCUACAACAUUGACCUCUACCAGUGACGGCACAACACCACCCUGUCUACAGUGGAGAGACGUGCUGGUGUUGUACUGGGAUGACGUUAGUGAUAAGCCGGGUAUGGUCAGAGGACUGCAAGAAGCGGGUAUCCCAGUGCGGGUGAUGAAGGAUGAUUACAUCGAGGACGUGGUCAUGGCCCGCAGUGACGUGGUGUGGGUGGCGAGUGGACAUCGUGUUCGUGGUCUGGAGAGAAAAGUCGUCGUGUGUCUGGAGAACCCUGAUUACGAUUUAUAUAGAUUUAACUUGUCACCACUGUACAACUUUACCUCUGCCAGACUUGACCUCAUGUCCCGCUGUACGUCACAACUUGUGAUUGUCUCCCGUGACGACAAGCCGCUAGAAGGUGACUGACACUGACACAUCUGCCACCUGCUGUAGUGUCAGUUUCUUACACCAACAAUUGUCUUUUAGUGUUUGUAAUAUGUAAUAGAUAUGACGUCAUUACAGAUUUUUACAUCACGA